GAUGAACGCUGGCGGCGUGCCUAAUACAUGCAAGUCGAACGGACGAUCGCAAGAUCGUUAGUGGCGAACGGGUGAGUAACGCGUUGGUGACCUGCCCUAUAGUGGGGGAUACCAGACCGAAAGGUCUGCUAAUACCGCAUGAGCUCGGGAGAGACUAGAAAUUUCCGAGGAAAGCCGAAAGGCGCUAAAGGAGGGGCCUGCGUCCCAUCAGCUAGUUGGUAAGGUAAUGGCUUACCAAGGCGAUGACGGGUAGGGGACCUGAGAGGGUGGCCCCCCACAAUGGAACUGAAACACGGUCCAUACACCUACGGUGGCAG
rnacentral:rRNA from 1 species